AAUUGCUUGAACCCAGGAGGCAGAGGUUGCAGUGAGCCGAGAUCAUACCACUGCACUCCAGCCUGGGCGACAGAACGAGACUCUGUCUCAAAAAAAAAGGCUUCCUUCCAAAGAGUACAGCAUGGAAGGGAUGGAGGAAGAGGAGCUUUGCACUAGAUAAGUCUGACGGGCACUACCUCAGCCAGGUCAUCAAGGUCAACAUCAACAGUGAUGAAUCGUGUAGGUGUUAUGUGGUGUGGCCUUCUUAGUGGCUGUCAAAGGCCUUCCAGUUGCAUUUCUAAUCCCCAUUCCUUGACAUGAUUUACUGAAAAUGACACUUCACCUCUCUGGUCUUCCCAUAACUCCAUAACCCCAGUCUAAUCAACAGAAAAACAUCAAACAAAUCUCAUCUCUGCAUUCUAACAAAUAGGUGACAGUGUUCCUUGGAACUGUCAAGGUCACCAAAGACCAAGAAAGUCUGAGAAACUGUCACAACCAAAAGGAGCCUAAAGAGGCAUGAUUAAAGGUAAUGUGGUGUCCCCAGUGGGAUCCUAAAACAGAAAACAGUACAUAAACGACAUUAGGAAAACCUGAAGAAAAUACGAAUCAAGUGUGGAAUUUAGUUAAUAAUAAUGUACCUGGCUCAUUAAUUGUGACAAAUGGACUCUACUUACAUAAGAUGUUAAUAACAGGAAACAGUGGAUGUGAGGCCUAUGGGAACUCUCUCUACUAUGCUUGCAAUUCUUCUGUAAAUCGAAAAUUGCUUUGAAAUUAAAUUUUUAUUUUUUAUUUUAUAUUUUUAUUUUUUUAUUUUUUUUUAAAGGCCAGAUCAUACCAUUAAGUAAGUGACAUUCCAGAUUGAUUACUGUCUGUAUUGGUUGGGGAGGCAGUAUAGAAAAUGGAAAACAAAGCUAUUUACGGUUCUCACCAUGAGCUGUGUUUCCAUAACAGAUGCAUUUUAUAGAUGGAUUGUUAUUCUAAUAAUAAGUACUAUAUUUUCUUGCCUAUAUUAGGUCAUUAUAUCCUCUAAAGAGUAUAAGUUAGUACAACUCUCCAUAGGCAGAGGCUCUUCCUUGAGAAGAACCAAUAUGAGUUCAUGAAGAGUCUUCAACUCAGUUUCCCAAGAACAUCCUAGAGGAGAAUUAACGAAAGGUGUGGCCCUCUUAGUGGCCGUCAAAGGCCUUCCAGUUGCAUUUCUAACCCCCAGCAGAACCACAGCACUGCCCCAGGUAGUCAAGCACGGUGGUUUCUGAUAAAGGUCUGCCCGUGACUUAUCUGUGGUUUUCUUAACUUUCAAUUUUUAUUUUUUCAAUUUUUUAAUUAUUUAUUUAUUUAUUUUUUGAGACAAAGUCUCCCUCUGUCACCCAGCCUGGAGUACAGUGGCAUAAUCACAGUUCACAGCAGCCUCCAACUCCUGGGCUCAAGGGAUCCUCCCACCUCAGCCUCCCAAGUAUCUGGGGCCACAGGUGUACGCCACCACACCCAGUGAUAUAUCUGUGUUUUAAAGGUCAUGGAUUAUCACCCUCAAGCAAUAAAAUGGUUCAGAUGAAAGCAUGCCAUGAAGUAGGUGCGUGAGGUGAUGGCCAGAAUUCCACUAGUUCAAUGACUCCCACCUUUGUCAGCCAGGAGUCGGUCCUGCCGUAUUCCUUACGGACCACUGAGCCAGUCAGAUCCAGUGCUUCUUCCCCUGUGCUGGUCAGUGGGGCUGACCCAUGCAGAUGGUGUUUUCCUGGCUUCCAGGUAUCUCAGCCACUCCUGCAGAUCCCAUGUGACUCCAGUUCUUCCCAGACAUGCCCACCGUGGGUGCUGAGUAACCCAGCUCCUGGCUCUGGCAACCUCCCCUCCUUUUGACUCGCAAGCCUAGAAACAUAGUGGCUUCCUGCUGUUACCAACUUCUGGGUUCCUCCACUGCCCUUUGUUUGGCCUCUCAGAACUUUUAUCACCCACUGAACCAAUUCUUUGUAGCAAAUGAAACCGCCUUUGCAAAAUUAUGACUGAGACAGUGAAAGAGAUCUAACUCAAUCAACUCCAUCUUGCUUCUAACCUUCAAGCUGUCCUUGUUCAUUCCUGGGUGUAGGCUGAAUGAACUUUGGGAGAAACUCAGUUUAUAGUUUAUAGUUUAAAACAAAGAUGAUAACAGCCCUUUCUCAAAGCAGACCUCCUCCUUGCCUGGGGACUAGACUGCCUUUGUAGGACUAACAUUAGCCACGAGAUUAGAAAAAAUUAUUUAGGAGUCAUGCAGCUGGAGGUUACAAGAUUCUGACCCUCCCUAAACCACUCCUAAAAUCAGUGCUUCAGAUAUUUUGCAGACUCUGCACUUGAUGGAUCAGCCGGCACCAUCCAGACUGAUAAGCUGGCUCAUCUGAUCCUGUGGCCCCUGCCCAGGUUACUGACUCAGUGCAAAAAGAUAGCUUUGACUCCCUAUGAUUUCAUCUGUGACCAAUCAGCACUCCUGGUUCACUAGCCUCCCACGCCCCCACUCACCAAGAUGUCCUUAAAAGCUCUGCUCCACGAAUGCUUGGAGAGACUGAUUUGAGUAAUAAUAAAACUCUGGUCUCCCGCAUAGCUGACUCUGCGUGAAUCACUCUUUCUCUAUUGCAAUUCCCCUGUCUUGAUAAAUAGGCUCUGUCUAGGCAGCUGGCAAGGAGAACCCCUUGGGCAGUUACAUAAAUACCGUCUGUUGGCCAAAGCGGUGGUUCAUGCCUGCAACCUCAACACUUUGGGAGGCCGAGAUGGAAGGAUCACUUGAGCCCAGGAGUUC
rnacentral:lncRNA from 1 species